rnacentral:rRNA from 1 species
ACGAUGACUAUCGGCAACGUAUAUCUCGGCUCUCGCAUCGAUGAAUAACGUAGCGAAAUGCGAUACGUGGUGUGAAUUGCAGAAUCCCGCGAACCAUCGAGUCUUUGAAUGCAAGUUCGUCCGAGGGACCCGCCCAAAGGCACCCAUGCUUGGGCGUUAGAA